rnacentral:lncRNA from 1 species
UUAAAACAAAAAAAAAAAUCACUUUCUGCCAUAUUUAUAAAAAAAAACAAAACUUAUGAACCCUAGCCUCCUCUGCUAGGGUUCCCACAGUCAACCGCCGCCGCCGUUUCAAUGGAUUCAAAGUCCCUUCAACCCUGAUCUGAUCGGAGCAAAUGGGGUUUCUCGUCCCCUUCCCGCAAGUAAGUAUUCCUUUUCCCCCUUUUCGUGUAUUUUAAAAAAAAUGAAAAAAAGAUUCGGGUAAAAUAAAUAGAAAAGAAACUGAAGUUCGAAAAAAAACUAUCAACCUUUUGAUUUUUUUGAUUGAUCUUUGCUCUUUGGUACUUUAUUUGCUAUGAAAAUAAUAACUUUUUUUUUUGUAUUGAUUUUCGAUCCCUCAUUACAGUGUAUUCAAAGGCUUUUUAUAGCCAUGAUAAUAAUAAAGCAAAGAAAGAAAGAAAUCUGCUGAUAUCUUUGAUUCGAAAAUCCAUGAUUUUCUUUCCAUAUGCUGUUUGUUUCUUUCUUGAUGCUUGUUUCCUUGCAGGUGAAGAUCAUGGAGAUCCAGAGGACUCGUCUUGCGGCGCUAUUGAAGAUUAGAAACCCUAGGGUUUUAUUAUCUGUCUUGGGCCUCUGUAUUCGGGCCUUUGUUUGUUUUGGUUUGGGCCUUGUGGCCCAUUUGUAAUUCGGGAUUUUAAACCCGGGCAAAAUUGGGUAUUUACAAAAGUGAGAACGGAUAUAUCAAUUAAAUUGUUCAUUGAAUUGAGUUGACUUUUGAAUAUAAAUGAGGAACUAGAUGAAGAUUGUCAUUCAAAG